rnacentral:rRNA from 1 species
GAUGAACGCUGGCGGCGUGCCUAAUACAUGCAAGUCGAGCGAACAGACGAGGAGCUUGCUCCUUCGACGUUAGCGGCGGACGGGUGAGUAACACGUAGGUAACCUACCUAUAAGACUGGGAUAACUUCGGGAAACCGGAGCUAAUACCGGAUAAUAUUUCGAACCGCGUGGUUCGAUAGUGAAAGAUGGCUUUGCUAUCACUUAUAGAUGGACCUGCGCCGUAUUAGCUAGUUGGUAAGGUAACGGCUUACCAAGGCAACGAUACGUAGCCGACCUGAGAGGGUGAUCGGCCACACUGGAACUGAGACACGGUCCAGACUCCUACGGGAGGCAGCAGUAGGGAAUCUUCCGCAAUGGGCGAAAGCCUGACGGAGCAACGCCGCGUGAGUGAUGAAGGUCUUCGGAUCGUAAAACUCUGUUAUUAGGGAAGAACAAACGUGUAAGUAACUGUGCACGUCUUGACGGUACCUAAUCAGAAAGCCACGGCUAACUACGUG